UAUCUGAUGCGUCAGUGACUAGGGCCAGC
rnacentral:piRNA from 1 species